CGGCGUGUUGUGUGACCGCCGUAUGCCACUGAAGCUCAAGGGAAAAUUUUAUAGGACGGCAAUAAGGCCGGCGAUGCUGUAUGGCACAGAAUGUUGGGCGGUGAAACAUCAACACGUACACAAAAUGGGUGUAGCGGAGAUGAGGAUGCUUCGUUGGAUGUGUGGGCACACGAGAAAGGAUAAGAUUAGGAAUGAGGAUAUCCGGGGUAAAGUAGGAGUAGCCGAAAUUGAAGGAAAGAUGAGAGAAAAUCGGUUACGGUGGUUUGGACAUGUGCAAAGAAGGCCUACUGACGCUCCGAUUAGAAGAUGCGACUAUGGGACAGAGGUUCAGGGCCGAAGGGGUAGAGGAAGACCUAGGAAAACUUUGGAAGAGACUCUAAGAAAAGACUUAGAGUACUUGGAUCUAACGAAGGACAUGACACAGGAUCGAGCACAAUGGCGUUCUAAGAUUCAUAUAGCCGAUCCCACUCAGUGACUUGGAUUUUCCAAGUCUCCAACCGAGAAGUUUUCCUCACUCGGGAAAAUUAAGGGAACACUACCCCAACCUACAUGCUCCACUCAGAAAGCUUCAACAUACAAGCUUCAACAAAAGAAAAUUCAAAGAACUUAGCGAAGAAGGCUUUGGUGUAUUUAACACAAUACGUUGAAAUGAAGGAAAGCUUAUUUAUUGAUAUCCCCGAUAAGCUACAAAUAUGUACAUAUACAUGAGUCAAAAUAAACAAACAAGAGGGAGCCUUCACAAAGGUUGCUUAGGAGAAGUCUCAGCAGUCGGUAGAGCCCCAGAAAGAGAAGGCACCGGAGGGGGAUCAUUUGGAGCCUCAGUACUGGACAGAACCCUAGAAGGAGGAGGCAUCAGAGGUUGAUCAUUUGGAGCUUCAUUACGCGGUACAGCCCCAGAAGACGAAGGCAAUAAAUGCCUUUGGAACAAACCCACAAAUCUCUGAUGAUCAAGUAAAACCUGACCAUCAGUUUCCUUCAUCUGGUCAAGCUUCCUCUUCAUGUUUGUAGCAUAGUCAUGUGCGAGCCGGUGCAACUGUUUAUUCUCAUGCUUGAGCCCUCUAAUCUCCUGUUUGAGACUCAUCACUUCAGCCGCCAAUGAUUCAACUUGGCGGGUUCGAGCAAAUAGGCGUUGGGCCAUAUUAGACACAGAACCUGCACACUGAACACUGAGAGCCAGCGAAUCCUUAACAGCUAACUCAUCAGACCGUUUGGAAAGUAGUCUGUUAUCUUUGGGAGUGAGAAGGUUCCUGGCCACCACCGCAGCGGUCAUAUCAUUCUUCAUCACGGAAUCCCCAACGGUAAGAGGACCAGUAGGGGAGACGAAGGAUGGGCGCCAUAUGUUGUCUGGAGAAGGCGGGGCUGCCUCUUCAACAAGGUUCAAGUCAAAACGACGGUCGGAGGGGCCAGACAUUUUCAAAGGUGUUGAAGAGAGAAGAGGUCGGACAAAUCAAGAUCUUAGAAGUGCAAGAAUGGAAGCUUCUACUGGUGGAGAUUCAAGUGUGCUUUGGAACUUAAUGCCAGCCCCUAUAAAAAUCUGCACUCGACGGAGCUUCAGAAAUCGAAGAGGCGCCUGCUCAGAAAUCGAAGAGGCGUUUGCUUUCUCAAAAGCUGGGCUGCUUAGAGAUCACGAGGGUUGAUCUCAGAAAUCGAAGAGGCGUUUGCUUUCUCAAAAGUUGGGCUGCUCAAAGACCACGAAAGGCCGAUCUCAGAAAUCGAAGAGGCGCUCGCUUUCUCAAAAGCUGGGCUCCUCCAGAGACCACGAGGGCCGAUCUCAGAAAUCGAAGAGGCACCUACUUUUCCAGCCUUGUCAGCACCUGUCACACGCACACUCAGCUUUGCGGAAAUUAUGGGCAUUCUGUCGAAGACUUCUGGGGAAGUAGAAAACACACAUGAAUCUUACUGUUCAAUCACCCACUUCCCACACGCAACAAUAGCUCAUGGGUACCACAGAUAACUUUGCCAAAGUUCUCUGCCAAAGUUGAGCACGUGAAGCUUGCAGCUCCCACUACAUCGCUCUGACCAAGAAGGGUAAAAGAAUAGCAAAGAAACAGCACUAACAAAGUUUAGACCCAUAAAUUUUGAAGGUCUAGCUACCAUAUUAUUACCCACAAGGGUAAAGGAACAGUACCACUGCUGGAUAAUUGGAAAGUCCCUGUGUGUCAACCUCUGUGCCUUCGUGGCAAGGUAGACUAGCAAACAUGCCCAACCUUUACUCACAUUCGAGAAAAACACUCCCAAUAAGAUUGCUUGCUCCAAAAUCGAAGAGGCACCGUCCUCCGAAUCUCGAGAGCCAGACUCCCAACAUGACUACUUUCUUAAAAAUCGAAGAGAGGGUAAAGGAACAGUACCAUUGCUGGAUAUAAUUGGAAAGUCCCUGUGUGUCAACCUCUGUGCUUCGUGGCAAGGUAGACUAGCAAACAUGCCCAACCUUUACUCACAUUCGAGAAAACACUCCCAACAAGAUUGCUUGCUCCAAAAUCGAAGAGGCACCGCCCUCCGAAUCUCGAGAGCCAGACUCCCAACAUGAUUACUUUCUCAAAAAUCGAAGAGACACUGCUCCCCGAAUCUCGAGAGCCAGACCCCCAGCAUGAUUGCUUUCUCAAAAAUCGAUGAGGCAUCGUUCUCCGAAUCAAUCGAAGAGGCGCUCGCUUUCUCAAAAGCUGGGCUGCUCAGAGACCACGAGGGCCGAUCUCAGAAAUCGAAGAGGCACCUACUUUUCUAGCCUUGUCAGCACCUGUCACACGCACACUCAGCUUUGCAGAAAUUAUGGGCAUUCUGUCGAAGACUUCUGGUGAAGUAGAAAGCACAUGAAUCUUACUGUUCAAUCACCCACUUCCCACACGCAACAAUAGCUCAUGGGUACCACAGAUAACUUUGUCCAAAGUUCUCUGCCAAAGUUGAGCACGUGAAGCUUGCAGCUCCCACUACAUCGCUCUGACCAAGAAAGGUAAAAGAAUAGCAAAGAAACAGCACUAACAAAGUUUAGACACAUAAAUUUUGAAGGUCUAGCUACCAUAUUAUUACCCACAAGGGUAAAGGAACAGUACCACUGCUGGAUAAUUGGAAAGUCCCUGUGUGUCAACCUCCGUGCUUCGUGGCAAGGUAGACUAGCAAACAUGCCCAACCUUUACUCACAUUCCGAGAAAACACUCCCAACAAGAUUGCUUGCUCCAAAAUCGAAGAGGCACCGCCUUCCGAAUCUCGAGAGCCAGACUCCCAACAUGAUUACUCUCUCAAAAAUCGAAGAGACACUGCUCCCGAAUCUCGAGAGCCAGACCCCCACCAUGAUUGCUUUCUCAAAAAUCGAAGAAGCAUCGUUCUCCGAAUCUCGAGAGCCAGAUACCACAUACCACUUUUUCAAAGUGCUCUGACAGAGUUAAAACAUGUGAAGCUGGCAGCUCCCACUACCGUGCUAUGACCAAGCAGGGUAAAGGAAUAGCAUUACUACUUGUUGUUAGGGAGACUCCUAUAUAUGUCGACCUCCAUCCCCAACGGACAGGCAGACCUGCAAAAAUGCUCAACCCUUCAUCAUAUCUGAGAGGGCACUCCCAACGAAGCCUUUCGAAAUAUUCAGCUUUCUUUCCCCCCGAUAAUACCUUUGCAAACAAGCUAUACUAGAGCAAGAAUAUCUCAUAUCAUCAGGGUUAAAAGCAAGAGUAUCCCAUAUCAUGCUUUUUCCCUGUCUUUUCCUUUGGCCUUGUUUUUACCUGCAAGACAAGGAGAAAGAGAGCAAUCAGUCAGCACUUGAAAUCAAGCUUCCAGCCAGGAACUGACUGCCUGGAACCCCUUACCUGAUUACUUACCUGGCAUUGCUCUCGAGUACUCAUCUUCAACAUCUUAUGUUUCCAGGGAAGAUACCGCAUCUGCUUGAGGAACAGAUAGGGCAAGUGCGAAGGAUACAAGGAAGCAUGUGGAGACAAGCGUAACAGCACACGUGCCGAUCCAUCCAUUACUCUGUCAAAAGCAAAAGUAUAUCCCAUAUCAGCAGGGCCGAACGUACUCUAGAUUUGAUGGACUUGUUUUGACCCUCAAAUUCUUCAGUCGGCCUUAUACUCUGGAGGAAACCAGAAAACCCUCCAGCUCAGUUCAAGAAUAAGCCUGUGGAAAGUUACUUCUUCAAAAGCAAAAGUAUCUCAUAUCAUCUCUUCUCAUUUUUCUUCUCUUUAUCCUUCAUGCUGCUGCAAGAUGGGGAGAAGGUGAACAAUCAGCCGGAGCUCUGAUUGCUUACCUUGUCUGUCACCUCUUUCAGCAAAUCCCCUAGCUCGGCGACUUGGGGGACUCCUACUACAUGGUUUGUAUCGCGCUUGACCAAGCCUGAAACUACAAGUAAGCUUCAAGUGAAAUUGAUACAUUACCUUGUGCAUCUCCACCAGUUAAAGAUACCACCCCUGGAUGGAGGAAGAGUACUUCCAGAGAAGCUGCCACAUCUACCUAUGAGACAGAUAAGGCAAGUCAAGAUGAUACCACACUCCGAUACUUAGAAGUUUCGUGAUUACGAGAUCAUUCUCCCACAAUAUUUCCUAAUGUCAUUUGUACUCUAAUGUCAUUUGUACUAAAUCAUUCACUUGUACUCACUAAAGGAGAGCUUGAACCUAUGUACUUGUGUAAACCCUUCACAAUUAAUGAGAACUCUUCUAUUCCGUGGACGUAGCCAAUCUGGGUGAACCACGUACAUCUUGUGUUUGCUUUCCUGUCUCUAUCCAUUUAUAUACUACUUAUCCACACUAAUGACCGGAGCAAUUUAGCGAAGAUCACAAAAAGCGACCAUUUUUCGCUACCUAGGAUCUAUCUUACAAGAGAACGGAGAAUUAGAUGGAGAUCUCAACCCAUAGAAUACGAGCUGGAUGGAUGAAGUGUAAGAGUGCAUCCAGCAUGUUGUGUGACCGUCGUAGGCCACUGAAGCUCAAGGGAAAAUUUUAUAGACGACGGCAAUAAAGGCCAGCGAUGUUGUAUGGCACAGAAUGUUGGGCGGCGGUGAAACAUCAACACGUACACAAAAUGGGUGUAGCAGAGAUGAGGAUGCUUCGCGGGAUGUGUGGGCACACGAGAAAGGAUAAGAUUGAGAAUGAGGAUAUCCGAGGUAAAGUAGGAGUAGCCGAAAUUGAAGGAAAGAUGAGAGAAAUCGGUUUUGGUGAUUUGGACAUGUGCAAAGAAGGCCGACUGACGCUCCGG
rnacentral:lncRNA from 1 species